rnacentral:rRNA from 1 species
AAUAAGAGGUCCCGCCUGCCCUGUGACUAUAUGUUUAACGGCCGCGGUAUUUUGACCGUGCGAAGGUAGCGCAAUCACUUGUCUUUUAAAUGGAGACCUGUAUGAAUGGCAUAACGAGGGCUUAGCUGUCUCCUUUUUCAAGUCAAUGAAAUUGAUCUCCCCGUGCAGAAGCGGGGAUAACACCAUAAGACGAGAAGACCCUAUGGAGCUUUAGACACCAAGGCAGAUCAUGUUAAACACCCCUUCACAAAGGACUAAACCAGAUGAACCCUGCCCUAAUGUCUUUGGUUGGGGCGACCGCGGGGAAACAGAAAACCCCCACGUGGAAUGGGAACACUCCUUCCUACAACUAAGAGCUCCCGCUCUAAUGACCAGAACUUCUGACCAAUUAGAUCCGGCAACGCCGAUCAACGAACCGAGUUACCCUAGGGAUAACAGCGCAAUCCCCUUUUAGAGCCCAUAUCGACAAGGGGGUUUACGACCUCGAUGUUGGAUCAGGACAUCCUAAUGGUGCAGCCGCUAUUAAGGGUUCGUUUGUUCAACGAUUAAAGUCCU